rnacentral:lncRNA from 1 species
CAAAUCCGAAGACAGGGGUAGUCAGUAAAAACCAACCACUGCAGAACGAGGAGAUCGCCUUGGUGGAAGUGUCAUAAUGAUGAAGAGACAAGUCCCAAACAGUCAUUUACCUUCAGCUGCACCUCACCUGAUAGCUCCCAGUCUAAAAUUGAUGCUGCCUUCAGGCUGAUGUUUCCUAAGUGUGCCCAGACCCCAGACCAGGCCUGGUGAAUCAGACCCUCCAGAAGACGAGCUGAAGAGUCUGUGGUACAGCAGCCCCUCGGUGAUUCCUGCUCUGUCA